CUGGCAGCGCUCGUUGCCUGGAAACCUGCGCACAGAGGUUCUGCGGCGGCUGGGCCCUCGGGAAGUGAUGAGCUUCACAACAAAGCGUGUGGGCUGUGUAUGUGGUGCCCGUGUGCGCGCACGCAGGGUACCCAAAUACCGGGGCCAUACAGAUACGCAGGGUACCCAAAUGCCAGGGCCACACACACACAUAGGCAGGGUACCCAAAUACAGGGCAUGCCCUGUGCAGCCCUCUCAGGGUAGCUGGAUGAGAGCAGGGCUUCUGGGCCGGCUGCCCGCCAGGUCUCCAGCCACCGUGAUACUGGGAAGCGGUGGGUAACAAAUGCCAUGGUGCGUUCCUCUUCUGGAAGCUCCUAGAAAGGCAGACCUGGCCAAGCAAAAGAUAUGAAAGAGCUUAAUUGGUUUAUGUGCUAACAUCAGCACUCCUUGGUGCAGUGUGUAUCCACGUAAUUAUUUAUGGAUAUUUAUGUCAGCUGACAAUAUCUAGCCGUGGCUUUUAAUUGGGUUGUAUUCACUGACUGUAUCAUAGUCUCUUGAAGGAAUAAAUGCAGAAAUGAACAGAAAUGAACGAUCUGACAAAGGCUGUUAAUCUGGCCACAAGUUUCCAUGCAUGUGUCAAAGCAGCCCUGAGAGAUGCACUGGUUACAGUUCCUUCGGAAACUCGUCAGCCUGCUGAGCUGCAUCAGCUUUCAGCUGCGGCCCACCCAGCGGGAGAGCUGAAGAACUGCAGGGCAGCCUUGUUAAAAAACUGCUCAGUGCAGCCAUGGCUCAGCCUCAGCCUCUGACAGCCCAUCAGCGGAAGCUACGAACAUCUGGGUGCCUGCCCGGAGAUGGAAUUACCCUGACCAGUUACUUCAGCUAAGCAGCUUUUAGCACAGGGGAGCUGAAAUUCAAUAAAAUGAAAAUGCCAUUCGGUGUUACUGAUACAGUGAGUUGAAUGUGUAAUGUCAGUUUGAAAAUACACUGUAUGGGUGUAGUAAUAUUAGCUAUAAUGUUAUCUUAAACUCUAUGUGCAGUGUGUGCAAUACACUUUAAAUCAUUGUCACACCUGAGAGCAGCAGCAGCCCUUGCAUUAAUAUACAGAUACUAUAGUUAUUUUAAUGCUGAAAGCUUUAUUGUAGUAAUAAACCUUUUGAAGGAUG